rnacentral:rRNA from 1 species
UACGUAGGGUCCGAGCGUUGUCCGGAAUUACUGGGCGUAAAGAGCUCGUAGGUGGUUUGUCGCGUUGUUCGUGAAAACUCACAGCUCAACUGUGGGCGUGCGGGCGAUACGGGCAGACUGGAGUACUGCAGGGGAGACUGGAAUUCCUGGUGUAGCGGUGGAAUGCGCAGAUAUCAGGAGGAACACCGGUGGCGAAGGCGGGUCUCUGGUACGGCACUGACGCUGGAGACGCGAAAAGCGUGGGGAGCGAACAGG